rnacentral:piRNA from 1 species
UCUGAUUUCUAUUUAUGCAGCAGA